rnacentral:misc_RNA from 1 species
UCCGGUUUGACACCGGCAGUCUCGCUAGAGUACUGGCUUGCGCCGAGCAACUAACGAUAGGGGUUGCGCUCGUUAAAGGACUUAACCUGACACUUCACAGCACGAGCUGACGACAGCCAUGCAGCACCUGUGCUUGUUCCGGUCUUGCGACUGUGGCUCUACUUUCAUAGAGUUAAUCCAAGCAUGUCAAACCCAGGUAAGGUUCUUCGCGUUGCCUCGAAUUAAGCAACAUGCUCCACCGCUUGUGUGAGCCCCCGUCAAUUCAUUUGAGUUUUAGCCUUGCGACCGUACUCCCCAGGCGGCGCACUUAUCGUUUUUACUACGACCGAUACGGCGUCAAAACCGCACCGGUCUAGUGCGCAUCGUUUACGGCGUGGACUAC